rnacentral:rRNA from 1 species
UACAUGUGGGGCAAGCGUUGUUCGGAAUUACUGGGCGUAAAGGGCUCGUAGGCGGCCAACUAAGUCAGACGUGAAAUCCCUCGGCUUAACCGGGGAACUGCGUCUGAUACUGGAUGGCUUGAGUUUGGGAGAGGGAUGCGGAAUUCCAGGUGUAGCGGUGAAAUGCGUAGAUAUCUGGAGGAACACCGGUGGCGAAGGCGGCAUCCUGGACCAACACUGACGCUGAGUGAGCGAAAGCCAGGGGAGCAAACGGG